rnacentral:rRNA from 1 species
UACGAAGGGGGCUAGCGUUGUUCGGAAUUACUGGGCGUAAAGAGUGUGUAGGCGGUGCUCCAAGUCUGGUGUGAAAUCUCCCGGCUCAACUGGGAGGGUGCGCUAGAAACUGGAAUGCUAGAGGAUGGGAGAGGUAAGCGGAAUUCCUGGUGUAGCGGUGAAAUGCGUAGAUAUCAGGAGGAACACCUGGUGGUGUAGACAGCUUGCUGGACCAUUUCUGACGCUGAGACACGAAAGCGUGGGGAGCGAACAGG